GCAGUGGUGGUUGAGUGGUAGAAUUUUUGCCCUAGUUGCAGGGGACACAGGUUCAAUUCCUGACCAGUGCA
rnacentral:tRNA from 1 species